AGGGUGUAUAGCUCAGUGGUAGAGCAUUCGUCUGCAGAUCGAGAGAUUCCCGAAUGAAACCUGGGUGCCCCUU
rnacentral:tRNA from 1 species